UAAAGGUUUGGUCAUGGCAGUGAGACUGUAAGUGUGUGAUGUAGUGCUCUUGUAAAGGUUUGGUCAUGGCAGUGAGACUGUAAGUGUGUGAUGUAGUGCUCUUGUAAAGGUUUGGUCAUGGCAGUGAGACUGUAAGUGUGUGAUGUAGUGCUCUUGUAAAGGUUUGGUCAUGGCAGUGAGACUGUAAGUGUGUGAUGUAGUGCUCUUGUAAAGGUUUGGUCAUGGCAGUGAGACUGUAAGUGUGUGAUGUAGUGCUCUUGUAAAGGUUUGGUCAUGGCAGUGAGACUGUAAGUGUGUGAUGUAGUGC